rnacentral:rRNA from 1 species
GACAGAGGGGGCAAGCGUUGCUCGGAAUUACUGGGCGUAAAGCGCACGUAGGCGGCUUUGUAAGUUAGAGGUGAAAGCCCAGGGCUUAACCCUGGAAUUGCCUUUAAGACUGCAUCGCUAGAAUCGUGGAGAGGUGAGUGGAAUUCCGAGUGUAGAGGUGAAAUUCGUAGAUAUUCGGAAGAACACCAGUGGCGAAGGCGACUCACUGGACACGUAUUGACGCUGAGGUGCGAAAGCGUGGGGAGCAAACAGG